rnacentral:rRNA from 1 species
AACGUAGGAGACAAACGUUAUCCGGAGUUACUGGGCGUAAAGCGCGUGUAGGCUGCUCUGCAAGUCGGAUGUGAAAGCCCUGGGCUCAACCUAGGAAGUGCAUUCGAAACUGCAGAGCUGGAGUCCUGGAGAGGAAGGCGGAAUUCCAGGUGUAGCGGUGAAAUGCGUAGAUAUCUGGAGGAACACCGGUGGCGAAGGCGGCAUCCUGGACCGGUAUUGACGCUGAGGCGCGAAAGCCAGGGGAGCAAACGGG